rnacentral:rRNA from 1 species
GACGAACGCUGGCGGCGUGCCUAAUACAUGCAAGUUGAGCGCUGACGGUUGGUACUUGUCCCAACUGGAUGAGCAGCGAACGGGUGAGUAACGCGUGGGGAAUCUGCCUUUGAGCGGGGGACAACAUUUGGAAACGAAUGCUAAUACCGCAUAAAAACUUUAAACACAAGUUUUAAGUUUGAAAGAUGCAAUUGCAUCACUCAAAGAUGAUCCCGCGUUGUAUUAGCUAGUUGGUGAGGCAAAGGCUCACCAAGGCGAUGAUACAUAGCCCACCUGAGAGGGGGAGCGGCCAGCUGGGGACCGAGACAGGCCCCAAGCCCCUACGGGAGCCAGCAGUAGGGAAUCUUCGGCAAUGGACGAAAGUCUGACCGAGCAACGCCGCGUGAGUGAAGAAGGUUUUCGGAUCGUAAAACGCGGUUGGUAGAGAAGAACGUUGGUGGGAGUGGAAAGCUCAUCAAGUGACGGUAACUACCCAGAAAGUGACGGCUAACUACGUG